GUGAAAAGACGUUUUCGACACUUUCUGUCAAACUAGAAGCAUCAGGUUGUCAACAAUGCAACAAUUCUUACUUAUGGACUGCAGCAGAAAGGUAGUUGCAGUUGUAACUGAAUGUUAACACAUGAAUCCAGGUUGAACAGAAGAACUUUCGGAAGAAGCUUCGGUAUGCAAGAGACAGCAACAAUCAAGGGCAUCGUUAUGUGUACACGAGCGAAAACAAUUAGCGGAACAUUCAUCGGGCGCAGUUGAACGGCGACGAUUUGCUUCGAGAAGUUUUCGCAUUAAAUAGCAAUAGGACGACUACGGCACGGAUGUUAGAGAACAACAAACCCGGUUUCGAGCCAGAAACGGGCGUCGCGACGAUGUCCGCAAAACACACGAUCAUCUACUACAACACUCAUUACGUUAGACUUUACUUCCAUAAAUUAGUUUCAAAAUAGGUCAUGUACAUGUUAGCAGUUGUGAUGGUUUAAUUGGUUUGAAAUGCAUGAAAUGAACCAUAAGGGACGAAGAAUAAUGAGGCAUCCGUCACUGUUUACGAGCGACCCGUCCAUCGAAGUUCUAGGGCACACACACACACAUACACGGAUAGAGAAAUCCGCAGAGAGAAACGGACGACCGGCAAACGAGUUACGCCGUGCGCGAUGGCCAGAACGGUCGAUCACACCAGUUUUUUUCCAUUUUCAAGUGCACUGCCUCCACGUCGAGCACGUCGGCGAGAUGGUCGGUCGACGGUCGGGCGCGAAACACGGGAGGACAGGCACCGCCGCGCCACGUUCGUAGAAAAAGCGACGGUCGCACCGUCCGGAGGACGUUCUUUCCGGAUUUCGGAGUGGACGACGACGCGGCGUACCUCGAUAAAGA